rnacentral:rRNA from 1 species
UGGGGAAUUUUGGACAAUGGGCGAAAGCCUGAUCCAGCAAUGCCGCGUGUGUGAAGAAGGCCUUCGGGUUGUAAAGCACUUUUGUCCGGAAAGAAAUCCUUGGCUCUAGUACAGUCGGGGGAUGACGGUACCGGAAGAAUAAGCACCGGCUAACUACGUGCCAGCAGCCGCGGUAAUACGUAGGGUGCAAGCGUUAAUCGGAAUUACUGGGCGUAAAGCGUGCGCAGGCGGUUUGCUAAGACCGAUGUGAAAUCCCCGGGCUCAACCUGGGAACUGCAUUGGUGACUGGCAGGCUAGAGUAUGGCAGAGGGGGGUAGAAUUCCACGUGUAGCAGUGAAAUGCGUAGAGAUGUGGAGGAAUACCGAUGGCGAAGGCAGCCCCCUGGGCCAAUACUGACGCUCAUGCACGAAAGCGUGGGGAGCAAACAGGAUUAGAUACCCUGGUAGUCCACGCCCUAAAACGAUGUCAACUAGUUGUUGGGGAUUCAUUUCCUUAGUAACGUAGCUAACGCGUGAAGUUGACCGCCUGGGGAGUACGGUCGCAAGAUUAAAACUCAAAUGAAUUGACGGGGUCAUAGCUGUUUCCU